UGAGGGGCGGCCGCUGGCCGUGUGCGGCGGGGCGGUGGGACUGAUCGCAGCGUCCGGCGCGUUCCUGCAUGUAGCCAUCCUGCGCAUAGUGCUUGGGUUUCCAGGGAAUCCACUUUCUACAUGUGAUAAGCCUUCAUGCUUAUGAAGUAUUAGAUUAUAUGAAAUUAUUUUUGGUCAUGACUUUCAGAAGGUAGAUCAUCUGGUGAUUUUGUGUGCCUGAAUGACACUUCUUUGAAAGUGCUGGUAUCUACAAGGGUCAAAAUUGCAUUAGAUGAAAUGAAAUUAUCUUUCUUCUGUUUUGGUUCAGGCUUGGUAGGUGGCAUUUGCAGCCUGUUCAUGUGAUUAACCCAUUAUAAUAACAGAUGGAAGUUCUAGUCAAGGGGUCUCCUUUUGAAAGCUUGGAAGAUGCUGAAUUAAAGAAUUCAACCAAGUAAUUUUGUUGAGAAGGACAAGACUCCAUUCCAGAUACCUGCUCAAUCAAGACUGUCUGGAAGUCUUAGGCAAGAAGAUUUGCUUUCAUCUGAAGGAGAGGCUCAAAGUCAGUAAGAUAAAUAUCAAAUGUCAAACUAAGCUGUUUAUACUGAGCUGUGCUUGCAAGACCCAACCAUGUCAGUAUCAGAACUGUUAGGCCACAUGCAUUAUGGACUGUAUCUGAUGCACUUCCAUAAAACCUGCAGCUGAUUCCACUACAGCACACAAUCCCAUUUGGGGAUCCUCAUGCAUUAGGUGCAUGUUAUACAUCUUCUAUUUUAACAUGUUUCUUCCUGAUUUGAGAUGCUGACUUCCUCUGCCAAUUCUUGGUGAGAUUCAUGAAAGCAAAAAGUAGCACAGGGUCGCUUUAUGCUGUGUGAAAGGGCAGUUGCUGAGACAGUAACUUCGGCAAAACCAGUAGCUGGACAAGAACAUCUGCAUUCAGCUCAAUAUGGUUUGUGUUAAUGCACAAGCACUGAUUGCA